UACAAUAAUAUAUUUCUAUUCUUGUCCAUUUUUCCUAUUGUACUGUUACUUGCUCUGGCUGCGUUCUCUGUAUAAAGACACAUUAGUGAAAGAAAAUGCCAAGCUCAGGCUCAUUCUUGAGGUAGCUAAGUGGCAGAGAAGCUUGGAGAUCAACAUCCAGGAGGUCGGGUUGUAAUAACCAAAACAACAUGCAUAGCAUUGCUGAAGGUGGUUUUAACUGGGGUUGCGAGACGAGUAUUAAGGAAAUGGAGGGCCUUAACAUGUAUGAUGGUGACAAUGGUGGGUUGUGUAUGAAAAAGAGAGUGAUGGUGGUUGUGGAUCACAAUUCUCACUCCAGGCAUGCAAUGAUGUGGGCUCUCACUCAUGCGGCUAACAAUGGUGAUUUGCUUACUCUGCUUCACAUUAUCCCUCCUGUCCACAAGGGUAGUGAAAGGGCUUCUGGCUCUGAUUCUUUUUCUCCUUAUCUUACUAAUUCUCUUGGCUCUCUUUGCAAGGCUUGUAAACCUCAGGUAUAUAUGCUUUCUUUAUUAUGUUCUAUUGAGGUUUACGGCUUUCUUUAAUUUUCUCUUUCUAUUUCUAGUCAGUCUUGGGUUCUAUAGAUCAAGAAACAGAGAGCUACCACAGUCCACAGAUGGAUCCUGAUCCAUCUUCUGCAUUACAUUGAUUUUUCUUUUUUCUUUUUUUAAUAUAUAUUAUGGAUCACAUGGCUCUGACACUGUAUUUUCUCGCAGUUUUGUUUGCUAGAUCCUGCUUAGUUUUCCUCACUUUUCCUCUUUCCCUGCGAGGGCUUUCUGUGAGAGGGAAUUUUCACUCGUUUGAGUUUACUUUUCCUUUUUAACCAUUUCUUUUUAUAUGUAAGGUUAUUUUCUGUCAUUCUUGGUUCAAGUUUCCUUUUUCUUUCAAGUAUUUCUUUUUUCACCUUUGAACUUUUAUUCAUUUCCGUUCUGCAAUGGGGGAGAAGGGGGACAAUUUUCAGCACCUCAUUAGUUUGUCUUUUCAUUUUUCACUUCUGGUUUCCAAAAUACAGAUAGGCAUGGUGGGGGUGGGAGAUUUUCAGAUACUUUCAACUUUUUUGUCUCUAUAUAUCUGUUUACUGUUGUUAACAUUAUAUCUGAGAAACAUGUCAAAGAUUUGUCACUUCAUUUGAUGAAUCUAAUGGUUUUACUAUUUAGGUGGAAGUAGAAGCACUGGUAGUCCAAGGGCCAAGGCUGGCCACAGUGAUGAACCAAGUGAAGAAGCUGGAUGUUUCUGUCCUAGUAGUAGGCCAGAAAAAAACCUCUCCCCUUAUCAAUUGGUGGGCCCAAAACUCCUAAUCUAUGCAUCCCAUAUCAACCUUUUGAUCUCUCACUGCUCUGAUAUUGAUAAUGGUGAGUUUUUUUCCUCUUGUUUUUCUGCAGCCUAUGUGGAACGAGCAGCAGUGAGGAGUUCGUGGAGCAGUGUAUCAACAAUGUAGAUUGCCUGACUGUUGGAGUAAGCAAGCAAAGCAAAAGUGUGGGUGGGUACCUUAUCAGCACCAGAUGGAAGAAGAACUUCUGGCUUUUGGCUUAGUUCAAAGUUAAUAACUUAAGUUAGAUAAAUGGGUUGUCGUUAGAUCCUAGUCUCACUAUUUGUAAAAUGUAAACUACUAAGUGCUAACGAGAUCGUCCUUUGUACCAAUGAAAUAUCAUGAGAAUCUCUCUCCUCUAAGCUUCAUAACCAACAGUAACUAAACAUUAUAUGUAAAGGUAUGCAUUCUUACUUUAGUUCAUCUAGCAUCAAGAACGUUUCUUCGGCAUUUUCCAUUUUGGGUUGUGAAAAAGAAGCCAAUGUGAUUAGUAAACCUCAACACAAAUCAUUGGUUGAUGGUGCAACUUACUUCCAGAGUUGUUGUCAAUUAGCAAAAUUUUGGCAAGGAAGAUGUUAUUUUGAACAAAAAAAAAGAUUGUUCAUCAAAGCAUGCUUCUUUUGGUUUGGAAGCUGCAGUAAUGUGCAACUUCGGAAGAGUUGUGAUCAUAAACGUGCAACCUUGAAUCACGAAAGCCUUGCAGGCUAUGGGGAGUAGGGAUAAUUGCAAUUGAGCCAAAUAAUUUUUAUUUCUGAUCAAGAAAAGAAACUUAUAUUAAAAAAUUAUGCUGGAUGUACACACAACAAAGUGA
rnacentral:misc_RNA from 1 species